rnacentral:rRNA from 1 species
GACGAACGCUGGCGGCGUGCUUAACACAUGCAAGUCGAACGGAAAGGCCCUGCUUUUGUGGGGUGCUCGUGUGGCGAACGGGUGAGUAACACGUGAGUAACCUGCCCUUGACUUUGGGAUAACUUCAGGAAACUGGGGCUAAUACCGGAUAGGAGCUCCUGCUGCAUGGUGGGGGUUGGAAAGUUUCGGCGGUUGGGGAUGGACUCGCGGCUUAUCAGCUUGUUGGUGGGGUAGUGGCUUACCAAGGGUUUGACGGGUAGCCGGCCUGAGAGGGUGACCGGCCACAUUGGGACUGAGAUACGGCCCAGACUCCUACGGGAGGCAGCAGUGGGGAAUAUUGCACAAUGGGCGGAAGCCUGAUGCAGCAACGCCGCGUGCGGGAUGACGGCCUUCGGGUUGUAAACCGCUUUCGCCUGUGACGAAGCGUGAGUGACGGUAAUGGGUAAAGAAGCACCGGCUAACUACGUG